CCUACGGGGGACAGCAGUGGGGGAUAUUGCCCAAUGGGGGGAACCCUGAUGCAGCGACGCCGCGUGUGUGAAGGAGCUUUUCGGCGCGUACAGCCCUAUCGGCAGGGAAGAAGAUUACGGUACCUGGCCACUCAUCCCCGGCUAACUCCGUGCCAGCCGCCGCGGUCAUACGUAGGGGGCAAGCGUUAUCCGGAUUUACUGGGUGUAACGGGGGCGCAGACGGCAAUGCAAGCCAGGAGUGAAAGCCCGGGGCCCAACCCCGGGACUGCUCUUGGAACUGCAUGGCUGGAGUACAGGAGGGGCAGGCGGAAUUCCUAGUGUAGCGGUGAAAUGCGUAGAUAUUAGGAGGAACAUCGGUGGCGAAGGCGGCCUGCUGGACUGUGACUGACGUUGAGGCCCGAAGGCGUGGGGAGCAAACAGGAUUAGAUACCCGGGUAGUC
rnacentral:rRNA from 1 species